rnacentral:rRNA from 1 species
CACGUAGGGGGCAAGCGUUGUCCGGAUUUAUUGGGCGUAAAGAGCUCGUAGGCGGCUUAGUAAGUCGGGUGUGAAACCUCCAGGCUCAACCUGGAGACGCCACCCGAUACUGCUGUGGCUAGAGUCCGGUAGGGGAGCGUGGAAUUCCUGGUGUAGCGGUGAAAUGCGCAGAUAUCAGGAGGAACACCGGUGGCGAAGGCGGGACUCUGGGCCGAUACUGACGCUGAGGAGCGAAAGCGUGGGGAGCGAACAGG